rnacentral:rRNA from 1 species
UACAGAGGGUGCAAGCGUUGUUCGGAAUUAUUGGGCGUACAGCGCGCGUAGGCGGCUACUUAAGUCGGAUGUGAAAGCCCUUGGCUCAACUGAGGAAGUGCACCCGAAACUGAGUGGCUAGAGUACGAAAGAGGGUCGCGGAAUUCCCGGUGUAGAGGUGAAAUUCGUAGAUAUCGGGAGGAACACCGGUGGCGAAGGCGGCGACCUGGGUCGAUACUGACGCUGAUGCGCGAAAGCGUGGGGAGCAAACAGG